rnacentral:rRNA from 1 species
AUUGAACGCUGGCGGCAGGCCUAACACAUGCAAGUCGAGCGAGCGGCGGAGGGGUGAGUAAUGUCUGGGAAACUGCCUGCUGGAGGGGGCUAACUACUGGAAACGGUAGCUAAUACCGCAUACCAUAAGAUGUGCCCAGAUGGGCGUGGCUAUAGGGUGGGGUAAAGGCUCACCUAGUCGACCAUCCCUAGCUGGUCUGAGAGGAUGACCAGCCACACGGGAAUGGAGACACGGUCCAAACUCCUACGGGAGGCAGCAGUGGGGAAUAUGGCGCAAUGGGCGCAAGCCUGAUGCAGCCAUGCAGCGUGUGUGAAGAAGGCCUUCGGGUUGUAAAGCACUUUCAGCGGGGAGGCGUUACCCGCAGAAGAAGCACCGGCUAACUCCGUGCCAGCAGCCGCGGUAAUUC